AAGUCGUAACAAGGUCUCCGUUGGUGAACCAGCGGAGGGAUCAUUACAGAGUUGCAAAACUCCCAACCAUUGUGAACCUACCUCACCGUUGCUUCGGCGGGUGGCUCGGGGCAACCCAGGCUGCGCCGGCCCCUUCAGGGCCCGGCAACCCGUCAGAGGACCGAAACUCUUCGUCAUCAGUGGCCUCUCUGAGUAAUUUAUACAAUAAGUUAAAACUUUCAACAACGGAUCUCUUGGUUCUG
rnacentral:misc_RNA from 1 species